UACGUAGGGGGCAAGCGUUGUCCGGAAUCAUUGGGCGUAAAGAGCGUGUAGGCGGUCCGGUAAGUCGGCUGUGAAAGUCCAGGGCUCAACCCUGGGAUGCCGGUCGAUACUGCCGGACUAGAGUUCGGUAGGGGAGACUGGAAUUCCUGGUGUAGCGGUGAAAUGCGCAGAUAUCAGGAAGAACACCCGUGGCGAAGGCGGCUCUCUGGAACGCAACUGACGCUGAGACGCGAAAGCGUGGGGAGCAAACAGG
rnacentral:rRNA from 1 species